GGGGCGGGCGCCAACGGCGGCGACGCGCAGCUGCGGCCGCUGCACGCGCACACCGCCAACGGCACCAAGACCACGCGCGCCGACGCCUCCACUGACGACCUGCUCUGAACUCCCACCAGUUGUAGAGUGACGUGGCGGCCGGCGCAGCCCCCGACGGUUUCCUGCUGUCGCCGCGGCGCCCUCGGCCACAGCGUCCAGAUGCCGCCCCACCUGGAGCCGCUGCGGCACACAGCAGCCGGCCGCUACUCCGGGACACAGCCACCAGCUCUGACCCUGCUUUCACCGGCGCGCCGGCGUGUUAUCGCUGGACGCUCGUCUCUCGCCACUUUGCCACACCUCACGCCGCCUGUCCGCCCGCACACCAGUCCAGCGACGUACUGCGAGGUUGCUGCCUCGUUAGGCUCUGUCACAAAUGGCGGUCUCAGUUUCCCCAACAACAGUCUUAAACAAAAGUUUGUCCAUCAGGCCGCUUUUCUCUGUCCAAAAUAGGCCGAAGUGAAAUUCGAACAUUUCAUUGUAAUCUCACUCAUCUUUCUUCUUACCCAGCAUAAUGCCGCUGACACAUAUCGUGUAACCACUUAUUAUGUAGAUGAAGGCUACAGUUCACUAAACACUUCCGAGUGAUAACCCAAUAAACGCUCUCCCAUCCGAAGAGAUUGCUAUAUCGAAGGAAAUCAUUACAAUUACCAGCAUGCAGCGUACAAACUAUUUUAAUAUGAUAAUAUCAACAAAACCAAAAAUUUUAAGUUAUCGUAUCCCUUUCCCAGGAAUAAAUGAAUUUAUUCUCACAACAUCAAUGAUGAAUCCGCUAUAGUUGUAAAAAUUACUUAUUUCUAAAAAGAAAACAAGAACCCGGUUUCGGGACCUGUAUCCCGUCUUCAGGUGUAUAUUAAAAUGUGAGCCAACAAAGGGUGCAUAACUAAGGUUAACAUAGGUUAAAAAGUGUUAAAAUAGUGCAUCCCUAAGUGCCACGAUCCAGGGAUGCAUUAUUUGACCAGGUUUUAACCUAUUUGAACCUCAGUCAUCCAUCGUUUAUGGACUCACAUUUUAAUAUACAUAUGAAGACGGGACACAGGUCCUGAAACUGGGUUGUUGUCUCCUUUCUAGAAAUAAAUAAUUUUUACAGCUCUGCCAGAUUUUAUCAUUGAUAUUGAGUAUCAGUAGAUGUGGAUGGAAAAAAAUUCAUAAAAGAUGGAAUAAAUUACAGCGAAAUGUCCAAAAAAUACGUUCAUUUAUCAAUUUGGAAUCGGUGACGUUUCCUUUCAAGAAUUCGAUCACAGCUGUAUUUUAAAUAAAGUACUUCGCGAAUCUUCGAUCGCUGAAAUUGCUCCUGACAUUACGACUGAAACUAUUCCACCCUGUUGAAUGAACGAAUAUUAAAGGAAGGUAGCUUGUCGGCCAAAUUAUUAGAACCUAAUUUUGAAAAAUACUGGUAAAUGUUAAAAAAUGAAAAUGAAAUACUCUACAACUAAAUAAAGACCUGUAGAAGUCGACAUUACGAACUUCUUACAUUAUUUUUAAACGAUGUACAUUUCCAUUGUGACGUACGGCGAUGGGGUUUGUGACGACCAUAAUGACCAGUGGCAGUGGUUACAGGUAGAAUCGGAAAAUGAGAAACAAAACUGCAGUUCCUGUUUGCCGGCGAAAGACAGCGAAGCAUUAUCUUCACCUCUAUCCCUAUUCAUAAAUAUAAUAAUCUCACCACAGCCACAAUUCUCAUAAAGUUGAAUGAUAUGGAAAUGAAGACAUUUUUAUCCAGUCAGUAAAGUUUCACUCUAUGGUACAACUCUUCAGAUGGUACAUUACUUGGAGGCGCAAGUAAUAACUAUUCGUGCGAAACGUGAAGCGCUGUAGGGACAGUGAGGAAAUUACACUUCUAGAACUGUGGAGAGAACUCGUAGCUCCCACAGGACUCCUAAUGGCACAUGAUAACUACUAUUUUACUACGUAACUAAUAUUUAAGGGAAAAUACAAGAGUAUGCAGUGUUUAGUUACCGGGAUAACUAAUAACAAACUCACUAGUACUAGCGACUUAUCGGUGUACACUGCAUACACUGGCUUACAAAUUUGUGUCAACACUGUUUUGAAACGGAGUGUGCUUGGAGUUUACACUCCAUAACUGGCUACCGCAUUUCUGCAUCAGCUAGCACCAAUGCACACAUUACUCAGCUCUAAGCGUUGGACUGCUGUGUUAUUAAAAUAUCGUCCGUAUCACACGAAGUGAACAAACAGCAGCACCUGUGAAGAGCCCCGUCUACUUUUUCCUGAAGUUCCCACCACAUCAAAGAACUUCACUCACAAAAACUGUCUUUUGUGUCGUUUUGUGUGAUUUUUAUUUAUUGCGAAUAUAUAAAGUGCAGUGUUCCUCCCCUUUUUCUUCAGCUGUUCCAUCUGCGAUUUUUAGCGUCCUCUCGAUACGUGCAGCAGUGUCGGAGUCAGCCUCUGUAUGCCGCCAGACUCCACGAUGACAAGUGUCAGGAGAGUGUGCGGGCGGAUAGGCCACAGUGCGGCGGCCCCGUCCACAGUGUGGAGCGCCGUGGAGUGUGGAAGCGCCAGCCAGCCAGUCCGCGUGGGCCGCGCCCGCCGCCCCGCCGCCCCCGCCGCCCACGGAGCCGCCCCGAGCCCCGGGCAGCCCCCUCCGGCCUGCGGGGGUGGCAGCAGCCGGCGGCGCGCUGGCCCACUUCUUGUUGAUGUUGUUGUCGUUGUUGUUGUUCACUUGUAAGCUGUAAACAUGUAAAGCUUCAAUAAAGGUAUAUUUCGUGUUUGUCAUA